rnacentral:snRNA from 1 species
UAGUGUUACAGCUCUUUUAGAAUUUGCCUAACAGGUUUUCCAUUUUUUCCACGGGAACCUUU